rnacentral:rRNA from 1 species
UACGAAGGGUGCAAGCGUUACUCGGAAUUACUGGGCGUAAAGCGUGCGUAGGUGGUCGUUUAAGUCUGUUGUGAAAGCCCUGGGCUCAACCUGGGAACUGCAGUGGAAACUGGACGACUAGAGUGUGGUAGAGGGUAGCGGAAUUCCUGGUGUAGCAGUGAAAUGCGUAGAGAUCAGGAGGAACAUCCAUGGCGAAGGCAGCUACCUGGACCAACACUGACACUGAGGCACGAAAGCGUGGGGAGCAAACAGGAUUAGAAACCCUUGUAGU